CAGCCGCCGCGGUAAUACGUAGGGUGCGAGCGUUAAUCGGAAUUACUGGGCGUAAAGCGUGCGCAGGCGGUUGUGUAAGACAGGUGUGAAAUCCCCGGGCUUAACCUGGGAACUGCGCUUGUGACUGCACAGCUAGAGUAUGGCAGAGGGGGGUGGAAUUCCACGUGUAGCAGUGAAAUGCGUAGAGAUGUGGAGGAACACCGAUGGCGAAGGCAGCCCCCUGGGCCAAUACUGACGCUCAUGCACGAAAGCGUGGGGAGCAAACAGGAUUAGAUACCCGAGUAGUCCCUGUCUCUUAUAA
rnacentral:rRNA from 1 species